AUUUCUCUGCGGGUGGGGAUUUGUUGCAUUACUUGAUCUUGUGUCUGUAAGAGUAUUGCACUUGUCCCGGCCUGUGGAGGAAAA
rnacentral:pre_miRNA from 1 species